rnacentral:rRNA from 1 species
GUUAGGAAUAUUGGACAAUGGGCGCAAGCCUGAUCCAGCCAUGCCGCGUGAACGAUGAAGGCCUUCGGGUUGUAAAGUUCUUUAGCCGAUGAUUAUAAUGACUGUAGUCGGAAAAUAAGCCCCGGCUAACUUCGUGCCAGCAGCCGCGGUAAUACGAAGGGGGCGAGCGUUAUUCGGAAUCACUGGGCGUAAAGCGUGCGUAGGCGGUCUCGUAAGUUAGGAGUGAAAGCCCAGGGCUCAACCUUGGAAUUGCUCUUAAAACUGCAAGGCUAGAAUCUCGGAGAGGAUAGCGGAAUUCCCAGUGUAGCAGUGAAAUGCGUAGAUAUUGGAAGGAACACCAGUGGCGUAAGCGGCUAUCUGGACGAGUAUUGACGCUGAGGCACGAAAGCGUGGGGAUCAAACAGGAUUAGAAACCCUGGUAGUCC